GCUCCGGUGGCCUAUUGGUUAGAGCGUCUACCUCGAAUGCGGAAGGUCGUGGGUUCGAUGCCCGGUUGAGUCA